AUCUGACAGGCCACAGAAAUAUCUGAUUUCCAAGAGAUGCUCGCAUUCUAUACUGAUGCCAUCUAGGAGUGUAAAUGCCCAAUAUCAUGCUGCCGAGUGGAGAAAGGGAGGGAGUAGGAUGUUGGGAGAAAGAUGAUUUCCUGCAGUCUUCUAAUUCAGAAGAUGGAGGUUAUCUUCCUACAGUAUUGUUUAUUUGUUUUCUUCUCAAAUGACUGAUUGAAGUUGAGUAUCAACAAUAUAGUGACAUUUUCUGGAAAGUAUGAAGACCACAACGACUCUUUGUUUUCAAGCACUGAGGAGAAAGGAGAGAUUAAGCACACUGAAAUAUCUUCCUCGUGGAGUGUGCAUUUCGAUGAAGGAAGACAAACUACAAAUAGUAGG